CCUACGGGAGGCAGCAGUGAGGAAUAUUGGUCAAUGGACGGAAGUCUGAACCAGCCAUGCAGCGUGCAGGAUGACGGCCCUAUGAGUUGUAAACUGCUUUUGUACAAGGGUAAACCUGAAUACGUGUAUUCAGCUGAAAGUACUGUACGAAUAAGGAUCGGCUAACUCCGUGCCAGCAGCCGCGGUAAUACGGAGGAUCCAAGCGUUAUCAGGAUUUAUUGGGUUUAAAGGGUGCGUAGGCGGAUUGAUAAGUUAGAGGUGAAAUGUCCGGGCUUAACCCGGGAACUGCCUUUAAUACUGUUAAUCUAGAGAGUAGAUGCGGUAGGCGGAAUGUGUGGUGUAGCGGUGAAAUGCUUAGAGAUCAUACAGAACACCGAUUGCGAAGGCAGCUUACCAAUCUAUAUCUGACGUUGAGGCACGAAAGCGUGGGGAGCAAACAGGAUUAGAUACCCGGGUAGUC
rnacentral:rRNA from 1 species